rnacentral:misc_RNA from 1 species
GCAAACUUGGUCAUUUAGAGGAAGUAAAAGUCGUAACAAGGUCUCCGUUGGUGAACCAGCGGAGGGAUCAUUACAGAGUUGCAAAACUCCCUAAACCAUCGUGGACGCUACCUUCAAACGUUGCUUCGGCGGGCGGCUCGCUCCCCUGGCGCCCCUGUGGCGCCCGGGGCGCGGCCCCCCGGCCCCCCCGCGGGGCGCCCGCCGGAGGUACCCAACUCUUGACAAUUUUAGGCCUCUCUGAGUCUUCUGUACUGAAUAAGUCAAAACUUUCAACAACGGAUCUCUUGGUUCUGGCAUCGAUGAAGAACGCAGC